GACGAACGCUGGCGGCGUGCCUAAUACAUGCAAGUAGAACGCUGAAGAGAGGAGCUUGCUCUUCUUGGAUGAGUUGCGAACGGGUGAGUAACGCGUAGGUAACCUGCCUUGUAGCGGGGGAUAACUAUUGGAAACGAUAGCUAAUACCGCAUAACAAUGGAUGACACAUGUCAUUUAUUUGAAAGGGGCAAUUGCUCCACUACAAGAUGGACCUGCGUUGUAUUAGCUAGUAGGUGAGGUAACGGCUCACCUAGGCGACGAUACAUAGCCGACCUGAGAGGGUGAUCGGCCACACUGGGACUGAGACACGGCCCAGACUCCUACGGGAGGCAGCAGUAGGGAAUCUUCGGCAAUGGGGGCAACCCUGACCGAGCAACGCCGCGUGAGUGAAGAAGGUUUUCGGAUCGUAAAGCUCUGUUGUAAGUCAAGAACGAGUGUGAGAGUGGAAAGUUCACACUGUGACGGUAGCUUACCAGAAAGGGACGGCUAACUACGUGCCAGCAGCCGCGGUAAUACGUAGGUCCCGAGCGUUGUCCGGAUUUAUUGGGCGUAAAGCGAGCGCAGGCGGUUUGAUAAGUCUGAAGUUAAAGGCUGUGGCUCAACCAUAGUUCGCUUUGGAAACUGUCAAACUUGAGUGCAGAAGGGGAGAGUGGAAUUCCAUGUGUAGCGGUGAAAUGCGUAGAUAUAUGGAGGAACACCGGUGGCGAAAGCGGCUCUCUGGUCUGUAACUGACGCUGAGGCUCGAAAGCGUGGGGAGCGAACAGGAUUAGAUACCCUGGUAGUCCACGCCGUAAACGAUGAGUGCUAGGUGUUGGAUCCUUUCCGGGAUUCAGUGCCGCAGCUAACGCAUUAAGCACUCCGCCUGGGGAGUACGACCGCAAGGUUGAAACUCAAAGGAAUUGACGGGGGCCCGCACAAGCGGUGGAGCAUGUGGUUUAAUUCGAAGCAACGCGAAGAACCUUACCAGGUCUUGACAUCCCGAUGCUAUUUCUAGAGAUAGAAAGUUACUUCGGUACAUCGGUGACAGGUGGUGCAUGGUUGUCGUCAGCUCGUGUCGUGAGAUGUUGGGUUAAGUCCCGCAACGAGCGCAACCCCUAUUGUUAGUUGCCAUCAUUCAGUUGGGCACUCUAGCGAGACUGCCGGUAAUAAACCGGAGGAAGGUGGGGAUGACGUCAAAUCAUCAUGCCCCUUAUGACCUGGGCUAUACACGUGCUACAAUGGUUGGUACAACGAGUUGCGAGUCGGUGACGGCAAGCUAAUCUCUUAAAGCCAAUCUCAGUUCGGAUUGUAGGCUGCAACUCGCCUACAUGAAGUCGGAAUCGCUAGUAAUCGCGGAUCAGCACGCCGCGGUGAAUACGUUCCCGGGCCU
rnacentral:rRNA from 1 species